rnacentral:rRNA from 1 species
GACGAACGCUGGCGGCGUGCCUAAUACAUGCAAGUUGAGCGCUGAAGGUUGGUACUUGUACCAACUGGAUGAGCAGCGAACGGGUGAGUAACGCGUGGGGAAUCUGCCUUUGAGCGGGGGACAACAUUUGGAAACGAAUGCUAAUACCGCAUAAAAACUUUAAACACAAGUUUUAAGUUUGAAAGAUGCAAUUGCAUCACUCAAAGAUGAUCCCGCGUUGUAUUAGCUAGUUGGUGAGGUAAAGGCUCACCAAGGCGAUGAUACAUAGCCGACCUGAGAGGGUGAUCGGCCACAUUGGGACUGAGACACGGCCCAAACUCCUACGGGAGGCAGCAGUAGGGAAUCUUCGGCAAUGGACGAAAGUCUGACCGAGCAGCGCCGCGUGAGUGAAGAAGGUUUUCGGAUCGUAAAACCCUGUUGGUAGAGAAGAACGUUGGUGAGAGUGGAAAGCUCAUCAAGUGACGGUAACUACCCAGAAAGGGACGGCUAACUACGUG